CAUUGUAGUGUGACUAGAAUAGUGAAAAUAUAUAGUCACUUAAUGGUAGAUGGAAGCUAGUUAAAAAUAACUAGCAGAAUAUGAUUUAGUGGAUAGCUUUUAGAACUAUAAUUAUGCAAAUCGGAUUGGUUGUGGUGUUGUUGUGAUGAUAGGUCCCAACGAGGCCCCACAGUUCCAUUUGGACCAUUAGUGGAGGUUGGAGUCGAGUAAAGAUUCAACAAAUAUCGUGCACAUGCCGGUUGAGUGACAAUGUUGGUGUCAAAGCAAAAGGUUUAACCCGAUCCCUGGGAACUCUCGCAUGUGAACAGUGGCGAAGCGUGACUCUCCACCCAGGGGCUUGUAGAGAGGGCUAUCCCCUACGAGUGCUCUGAUAGGUACCGUUUGUUGCCACCGCUGAAGGAGAAAAGGGCUGCUUGUAACGAGGGUUGUCCUCUACGAGUGGAGCCAUCGCUGAAAGAGGAAAGGGCUGCUUGUAACGAGGGUCGUCCCCUAUAAGUGGAGCCCAACCGUGCAUGUGCGAAGUGGGCAAUGCACAUGCCGGUAAUGAUCCACAUCAACCGUGUGAGGUGAUGGUGGUGUAAGUGCUUAUAUAUAUACAUAUUUACUAUGUAGAGAUGUUUGGAUUUAAAAUGUGAUUGCAUUGGCUGUUGAAAACUUGAGUAUUGUCAAUGUGUUCAAUUUAAUGUGCAAUGUGGCAUGAGUGGAUUAUUCCAGUGGCAGUGAAAGCCCCUUGGAUUUUUAUCUGGCCAGAAUUUCGUUGCAGCGAGAAUGCCUUUUCACUGGGGUUCCUGAGUUAAAGGUGAUUGGAUCCUAGGAUGAGGUGUUCCACCCUAUACAUUGCUCCGUAGGUUUAGCGUGACACUAAGUGUUAUCAAUUGUGCCCAGAAUCACUCCACUGAUGGUCAAGUUCUAAUUACGUGUAUAUGACUACUUGUUGUGAAAUGCUGAGAUUCACUUGUCAAAUUAUAUGUAUGUAUAUAAUGGUUGAUGAUGCCAUUAUGAAUACAUGACUGGGUUUUAUGAGUUGUUUUCAAAGUAAUUGUAAUUGAGCAUUAUGAA